rnacentral:rRNA from 1 species
GACGAACGCUGGCGGCGUGCUUAACACAUGCAAGUCGAACGGAAAGGCCCAGCUUGCUGGGUGCUCGAGUGGCGAACGGGUGAGUAACACGUGGGUGAUCUGCCCCUAACUUCGGGAUAAGCUUGGGAAACUGGGUCUAAUACCGGAUAGGACAAUCGUUUAGUGUCGGUUGUGGAAAGUUUUUUCGGUUAGGGAUGAGCCCGCAGCCUAUCAGCUUGUUGGUGGGGUAAUGGCCUACCAAGGCGUCGACGGGUAGCCGGCCUGAGAGGGUGGACGGCCACAUUGGGACUGAGAUACGGCCCAGACUCCUACGGGAGGCAGCAGUGGGGAAUAUUGCACAAUGGGCGCAAGCCUGAUGCAGCGACGCCGCGUGGGGGAUGACGGCCUUCGGGUUGUAAACCUCUUUCGACAGGGACGAAGCUUUGGUGACGGUACCUGUAUAAGAAGCACCGGCUAACUACGUG